UGGGCGCGCAUCUCGCAAGAAUUUAAGGAAAAGAAUCGGGUUAAAUUUCUUGAAAUGGGACGUGGUGGUUGACAUCAACAUUAGGGAGUUCAGAGAUGCAGGGGAUCUCUGGAAGAGUUAUCUUUUCUAUUUAACAGUGUACCCACCCUAGAAACGGCUUAGCCGGAUGUAGGGUUCAUUGGUUGGAAGAGCACCACAUGUCACGUGGUGUCCAGUGUGCCUCCCGCUGCCCUUGAAAAUCCUGAAGACUGACAAAGUUGUUCUACUUAGCAU
rnacentral:sRNA from 1 species